GGGAAGGUGGCUCAUUGGUUGAGCGCUUGCCUUGCAUGCAUGAGACCCUGGGUUCGAUUCCCAACCACCACA
rnacentral:tRNA from 1 species